rnacentral:rRNA from 1 species
CCCCUAGAUGUUCUGGGCCGCACGCGCGCUACACUGAACAGUUCAACAAGUCUUAACCUUGGCCGAUAGGUCUGGGUAAUCUUUGAACGCUGUUCGUGAUUGGGAUAGAGUUUUGCAACUAUUAGUCUUGAACGAGGAAUUCCUCGUAAGCACGAGUCAUCAGCUUGUGCUGAUUACGUCCCUGCCCUUUGUACACACCGCCCGUCGCUCCUACCGAUUGGGUGCUCCGGUGAAUUGUUUGGACUGCUGUCAGUCUUUUUGGCUGUCGGCGAGAAGCUCUGUGAACCUUAGCACCUAGAGGAAGGAGAAGUCGUAACA